rnacentral:rRNA from 1 species
UACGUAGGGGGCAAGCGUUGUUCGGAAUUACUGGGCGUAAAGCGCGUGUAGGCGGCUCUUCAAGUCAGACGUGAAAGCCCCGGGCUUAACUCGGGAACUGCGUUUGAUACUGUCGAGCUAGAGUGUGGAAGGGGCGAUUGGAAUUCCGUGUGUAGCGGUGAAAUGCGUAGAUAUACGGAGGAACACCAGAGGCGAAGGCGGAUCGCUGGGCCAACACUGACGCUGAGACGCGAAAGCUAGGGGAGCAAACGGG